UUAAGUUGCUAGGGGUGCCCAAAGGCUGAGAGAUGAUUUUCAUCAACCCUUUUAACCUGAUCUGGAUAAUUCCAGCGUAGGAAAGCUAUUUAUAGAAUAU
rfam:Clostridium celatum DSM 1785 genomic scaffold Scfld27, whole genome shotgun sequence.